GAUGAACGCUGGCGGCGUGCCUAAUACAUGCAAGUCGAGCGAACAGAUAAGGAGCUUGCUCCUUUGACGUUAGCGGCGGACGGGUGAGUAACACGUGGGUAACUUACCUAUAAGACUGGAAUAACUCCGGGAAACCGGGGCUAAUGCCGGAUAACAUGUUGAACCGCAUGGUUCUACAGUGAAAGGCGGCUUUGCUGUCACUUAUAGAUGGACCCGCGCCGUAUUAGCUAGUUGGUGAGGUGACGGCUCACCAAGGCAACGAUACGUAGCCGACCUGAGAGGGUGAUCGGCCACACUGGAACUGAGACACGGUCCAGACUCCUACGGGAGGCAGCAGUAGGGAAUCUUCCGCAAUGGGCGAAAGCCUGACGGGGCAACGCCGCGUGAGUGAUGAAGGUCUUCGGAUCGUAAAACUCUGUUAUUAGGGAAGAACAAAUGCGUAAGUAACUGUGCGCGUCUUGACGGUACCUAAUCAGAAAGCCACGGCUAACUACGUG
rnacentral:rRNA from 1 species